GGGAACUGUUAAACUUGUUUGUUUGCCGGAGAGUUUCCCAUCAGGACGAUGUGUUGUUUAAAGCUCGAUGAGCUGCAAGGAGCACCGCUUUACUAGAGUUAUCUGGAUCCUCUGGUGCCUCGCGUGUUGGAAGUGAAGGACUCGAGGUCGGACUGUGAGAACUCUUCACGCUCCACAGCUCCUGAAUGCUGCGCUGCAAAAACCACAAUCUGCCCGGAGAUCAUGUAGCUCAGAUACUCACUGAGGCGUGAGUGUAUGAACACCCUGAGGCUCAAAGGAGGCUGCAGUUUCCUCACGACAUCGCCCUUUAAAAUGCCCACUUCCUUUGUGUCCGUGUCCUUGAACGUGGAGGACUUGAAGCUGCUGAACCAGGACAAAGUAUGUUGGAGAUGCUCUGACCACAUCC
ensembl:lncRNA